UAGACCUGCAGACGCGAACAGCCCCUCUCAGCACUCAUUAGGACUCAUUAGGCACACAUUAGGAUUCAAAUGCAUCGUUCGGGCCCUAUGUCAUCUACCUCUUUGCUUUGUCCUCCACUGUGUAUCAUAGGUGUGCCAAACCUUGGCAUGUGCCUGUGGAAAAUAUUUUCACAUUUCAGGCUUUCAGGCACUUUCAGUUUUAUGAAAUAUGUUCAAACCCAGCUGAGUUAAAUGAAACAAAACCCUUUUUCCACAUGGGAAUCACCACAAACAGAAUUUAUUCUCUAUAAUUAAGACCAAGUCUCCUCUAAGAUAUUGUUGAAGGUGUGUAAUCGUUUUGUUAUUAACUGUACAUUCUCUGACCUUAAUGAUGUGAUGUGCGGCUCUGUACGCUCCUGUUCCGCUCAGCCUCACUCCAGGCGCAUGCUCACCUGUCUCAUAGCCUUCAACCGCCACCGACUGUGGAUGGGAGGUGACGGUACAUUCAGCAACCAGUGACCUGUGUUCUGCCCACUUUUAUGUCCCAGUACGGUUUGGACCUACCCAUGGAUUGUUGAAAGUGAUCCAAUGCUUGACCCGGUUGCCAAAUCUUUCAAAGCACAGGCUCCUUCUGUUUGAUAGGCUGAACUGCCGGCACCCCACGAAAAUCCUAACGAACACAUCAUCAGCAAUGCGCAUUCAGCUCCACAAUGCCCAGGUUUUAGAUGGAAUAACAUCAACAACAUCCUAAAAUAUAGCAAUGUAUGUGCUAAACAAGACAACAGCAUACCUUAUGAAGAAUUCAUUUGCAGCAGGUGUAAGUGCUGAGCUCGAAUCCCUGGGGAAAUGGAGAUACUCCUGGACAGCGGGGCACGUAGAAAGCCGUA